rnacentral:rRNA from 1 species
GCUAAUAGCUACAGUUAUACCACUCUGAGAUGCCAUUACAACUCAUAAGCUAAGCAGCCUGGUCAGUAUUUGGAUAGGAGAUCGCUAGAGAGAGCCCAAGGGGCUAUAAUGG